rnacentral:rRNA from 1 species
CCUACGGGGUGCAGCAGUGAGGAAUAUUGGUCAAUGGGCGCGAGCCUGAACCAGCCAAGUAGCGUGAAGGAUGACUGCCCUACGGGUUGUAAACUUCUUUUAUAAAGGAAUAAAGGGAGGCAGGGGGGCAUUUUGGUAUGUAAUUUAUGAAAAAGGAUCGGCGAACACCGUGCCAGAAGCCGCGGUAAUACGGAGGAUCCGAGCGUUAUCCGGAUUUAUUGGGUUUAAAGGGAGCGUAGAUGGGUUGUUAAGUCAGUUGUGAAAGUUUGCGGCUCAACCGUAAAAUUGCAAUUGAAACUGGCAGUCUUGAGUACAGUUGAGGUAGGCGGAAUUCGUGGUGUAGCGGUGAAAUGCUUAGAUAUCACGAAGAACUCCGAUUGCGAAGGCAGCUUACUAAACUGCCACUGACAUUGAUGCUCGAAAGUGUGGGUAUCAAACAGGAUUAGAUACCCGGGUAGUC